UGCAUACUCCCUCCGUCCCAAAAUAAGUGACUCAACUUUGUACAAAAGCUAGUACAAAGUUGAGUCACUUAUUUUGGGACGGAGGGAGUAUCUU
rnacentral:pre_miRNA from 1 species